rnacentral:rRNA from 1 species
AGCGAACGCUGGCGGCAUGCCUAACACAUGCAAGUCUGACGGGCCUGGGGGCUUGCUCCGGGUCAGUGGCGGACGGGUGAGGAACGCGUAGGAACGUAUCCAAGGGUGGGGGAUAACCGCGGGGAAACUGCGGCUAAUACCGCAUGGGGCCUCAAGGGAGACCUGGGGGCCAAAGGCUGAGGGAAACCUUGGUCGCCGAUGGAGCGGCCUGCGUCCGAUUAGCUAGUUGGUGGGGUGACGGCUACCAAGGCUACGAUCGGUAGCUGGUCUGAGAGGAUGAUCAGCCACACUGGGACUGAGACACGGCCCAGACUCCUACGGGAGGCAGCAGUGGGGAGUAUUGGACAAUGGGCGAAAGCCUGAUCCAGCAAUGCCGCGUGGGUGAAG